rnacentral:rRNA from 1 species
GACGAACGCUGGCGGCGUGCUUAACACAUGCAAGUCGAACGGUAAGGCCCUUCGGGGUACACGAGUGGCGAACGGGUGAGUAACACGUGGGUGAUCUGCCCUGCACUUCGGGGUAAGCCUGGGAAACUGGGUCUAAUACCGGAUAGGACUCCGGACUGCAUGGUCUGGGGUGGAAAGCUUUUGCGGUGUGGGAUGGGCCCGCGGCCUAUCAGCUUGUUGGUGGGGUGAUGGCCUACCAAGGCGACGACGGGUAGCCGGCCUGAGAGGGUGACCGGCCACACUGGGACUGAGAUACGGCCCAGACUCCUACGGGAGGCAGCAGUGGGGAGUAUUGCACAAUGGGCGCAAGCCUGAUGCAGCGACGCCGCGUGAGGGAUGACGGCCUUCGGGUUGUAAACCUCUUUCAGCAUCGACGAAGCGAAAGUGACGGUAGGUGCAGAAGAAGGACCGGCCAACUACGUGCCAGCCGCCGCAGUAA